GACGAACGCUGGCGGCGUGCCUAACACAUGCAAGUCGAGCGGAGUCGAUCGACGGAAGCCUUCGGGCGGAAGAUGGUUGACUUAGCGGCGGAUGGGUGAGUAACGCGUGGGCAACCUGCCUCGAAGACCGGGAUAACAGCCCGAAAGGGCUGCUAAUACCGGAUGUGGUCAAGGAUCCGCAUGGAUUUUUGAUUAAAGGGGAAACCCGUUUCGAGAUGGGCCCGCGUCCUAUCAGCUAGUUGGUGAGGUAAAAGCUCACCAAGGCGACGACGGGUAGCCGGCCUGAGAGGGUGACCGGCCACACUGGAACUGAGACACGGUCCAGACUCCUACGGGGGGCAGCAGUGGGGAAUCUUCCACAAUGGGCGAAAGCCUGAUGGAGCGACGCCGCGUGAGCGAAGAAGGCCUUCGGUGUAAAGCUCUGUCUGGAGGGACGAAGGAAGUGACGGUACCUCCGGAGGAAGCCACGGCUAACUACGUGCCAGCAGCCGCGGUAAAGUCACGUCG
rnacentral:rRNA from 1 species